rnacentral:rRNA from 1 species
UUGAUCCUGGCUCACGAUGAACGCUAGCGGCAGGCUUACACAUGCAAGUCGAGGGGUAACAGUUCCGGGCAACUGGAAGCUGACGACCGGCGCACGGGUGAGUAAUGCGUAUGCAACCUGCCCUUAACUGGAGCAUAGCUCCCGGAAACGGGAAUUAAUACUCCAUAAUAUCCUAAAAUCGCAUGGUUUAAGGAUAAAAGCUCCGGCGGUUAAGGAUGGGCAUAUGUGACAUUAGUUUGUUGGUGAGGUAACGGCUCACCAAGACCGCGAUGUCUAGGGGGUCUGAGAGGAUGAUCCCCCACACUGGUACUGAGACACGGACCAGACUCCUACGGGAGGCAGCAGUGAGGAAUAUUGGUCAAUGGGCGCAAGCCUGAACCAGCCAUGCCGCGUGCAGGAUGACUGCCCUACGGGUUGUAAACUGCUUUUGUACGAGAAGAACCUUCCGAACGUGUUCGGGACUGACGGUAUCGUACGAAUAAGGAUCGGCUAACUCCGUGCCAGCAGCCGCGGUAAUACGGAGGAUCCAAGCGUUAUCCGGAUUCAUUGGGUUUAAAGGGUGCGCAGGCGGAAUAGUAAGUCAGUGGUGAAAGCCUACAGCUUAACUGUAGAAUUGCCAUUGAUACUGCUAUUCUUGAGUAUAGUUGAGGUGGGCGGAAUGUGUAAUGUAGCGGUGAAAUGCAUAGAUAUUACACAGAACGUCAAUUGCGAAGGCAGCUCACUAAACUAUAACUGACGCUGAGGCACGAAAGCGUGGGGAGCGAACAGGAUUAGAUGCCCUGGUAGUCCACGCUGUAAACGAUGAUCACUAGCUGUUGGCGAUACACAGUCAGCGGCUGAGCGAAAGCGUUAAGUGAUCCACCUGGGGAGUACGUCCGCAAGAAUGAAACUCAAAGGGAUUGACGGGGGCCCGCACAAGCGGUGGAACAUGUGGUUUAAUUCGAUGCUACGCGAGGAACCUUACCUGGGCUUAAAUGCAGGACGACGUUCCGGGAAACUGGAAUUCCCUUCGGGGCGGACUGCACGGUGCUGCAUGGCUGUCGUCAGCUCGUGCCUUGAGGUGUCGGGUUAAGUCCCAUAACGAGCGCAACCCCUAUUGUUAGUUGCCAGCGAGUAAUGUCGGGGACUCUAACAAAACUGCCCGUGUAAGCGGGAGGAAGGUGGGGAUGACGUCAAGUCAGCACGGCCCUUAUGUCCAGGGCUACACACGUGUUACAAUGGUCGGUACAAAGGGCAGCUACCACGCGAGUGGAUGCUAAUCUCUAAAGCCGGUCUUAGUUCGGAUCGGAGUCUGCAAUUCGACUUCGUGAAGGCGGAAUCGCUAGUAAUCGCGCAUCAGCAACGGCGCGGUGAUACGUUCCCGGGCCUUGUACACACUGCCCGUCAAGCCAUGGAAGUUGGGGGUACCUGAAGCCCGUAACCGCAAGGAGCGGUCUAAGUAAACCCGACGACUGGGGCUA